GAUGAACGCUGGCGGCGUGCCUAAUACAUGCAAGUCGAGCGAACGGACGAGUAGCUUGCUUCUCUGAUGUUAGCGGCGGACGGGUGAGUAACACGUGGAUAACCUACCUAUAAGACUGGGAUAACUUCGGGAAACCGGAGCUAAUACCGGAUAAUAUUUUGAACCGCAUGGUUCAAAAGUAAAAGACGGUCUUGCUGUCACUUAUAGAUGGAUCCGCGCUGCAUUAGCUAGUUGGUAAGGUAACGGCUUACCAAGGCAACGAUGCAUAGCCGACCUGAGAGGGUGAUCGGCCACACUGGAACUGAGACACGGUCCAGACUCCUACGGGAGGCAGCAGUAGGGAAUCUUCCGCAAUGGGCGAAAGCCUGACGGAGCAACGCCGCGUGAGUGAUGAAGGUCUUCGGAUCGUAAAACUCUGUUAUUAGGGAAGAACAUAUGUGUAAGUAACUGUGCACAUCUUGACGGUACCUAAUCAGAAAGCCACGGCUAACUACGUG
rnacentral:rRNA from 1 species